rnacentral:rRNA from 1 species
GUGGGGAAUAUUGGACAAUGGGCGAAAGCCUGAUCCAGCCAUGCCGCGUGUGUGAAGAAGGUCUUCGGAUUGUAAAGCACUUUAAGUUGGGAGGAAGGGCAGUAAGUUAAUACCUUGCUGUUUUGACGUUACCGACAGAAUAAGCACCGGCUAACUUCGUGCCAGCAGCCGCGGUAAUACGAAGGGUGCAAGCGUUAAUCGGAAUUACUGGGCGUAAAGCGCGCGUAGGUGGUUUUGUAAGUUGGAGGUGAAAUCCCCGGGCUCAACCUGGGAACUGCCUCCACAACUGCAUGACUAGAGUACGGUAGAGGGUAGUGGAAUUUCCUGUGUAGCGGUGAAAUGCGUAGAUAUAGGAAGGAACACCAGUGGCGAAGGCGACUACCUGGACUGAUACUGACACUGAGGUGCGAAAGCGUGGGGAGCAAACAGGAUUAGAUACCCGGGUAGUCC